CCUACGGGUGGCAGCAGUGGGGAAUAUUGCACAAUGGGGGAAACCCUGAUGCAGCGACGCCGCGUGAGUGAAGAAGUAUUUCGGUAUGUAAAGCUCUAUCAGCAGGGAAGAAAGUGACGGUACCUGAUUAAGAAGCCCCGGCUAACUACGUGCCAGCAGCCGCGGGAAUACGUAGGGGGCACGCGUUAUCCGGAUUUACUGGGGGUAAAGGGAGCGUAGACGGCAGCACAAGUCUGGAGUGAAAUGCCGGGGCUUAACCCCGGAACGGCUUUGGAAACUGUGCAGCUAGAGUGCAGGAGAGGGAAGUGGAAUUCCUAGUGUAGCGGUGAAAUGCGUAGAUAUUAGGAGGAACACCAGUGGCGAAGGCGGCUGACUGGACUGUAACUGACGUUGAGGCUCGAAAGCGUGGGGAGCAAACAGGAUUAGAUACCCGAGUAGUC
rnacentral:rRNA from 1 species